rnacentral:rRNA from 1 species
GGAUUAGCGGCGAACGGGUGAGGAACACGUGAGGAAUCUGCCUUCAACACUGGGAUAACUCCGGGAAACCGGGGCUAAUACCGGAUACGAGACCUGCAGGCAUCUGCGGGUCUGGAAAGUUUUUCGGUUGAAGAUGACCUCGCGGCCUAUCAGCUUGUUGGUGAGGUAAUGGCUCACCAAGGCGACGACGGGUAGCCGGCCUGAGAGGGCGACCGGCCACACUGGGACUGAGACACGGCCCAGACUCCUACGGGAGGCAGCAGUGGGGAAUAUUGGGCAAUGGAGGGAACUCUGACCCAGCGACGCCGCGUGCGGGAUGAAGGCCUUCGGGUUGUAAACCGCUUUCAGCAAGGAAGAAGCGAAAGUGACGGUACUUGCAGAAGAAGCACCGGCUAACUAUGUGCCAGCAGCCGCGGUAAUACAUAGGGUGCAAGCGUUGUCCGGAAUUAUUGGGCGUAAAGAGCUCGUAGG